rnacentral:rRNA from 1 species
CCUACGGGAGGCAGCAGUGGGGAAUAUUGGGCAAUGGGCGCAAGCCUGACCCAGCAACGCCGCGUGAAGGAAGAAGGCUUUCGGGUUGUAAACUUCUUUUCUCAGGGACGAAGAAAGGGACGGUACCUGAGGAAUAAGCCACGGCUAACUACUGGCCAGCAGCCGCUGUAAUACGUAGGUGGCAAGCGUUAUCAGGAUUUAUUGGGUGUAAAGGGCGUGGAGGCGGGAGCGCAAGUCAGAUGUGAAAACUCAGGGCUCAACCCUGAGCCUGCAUUUGAAACUGUGUUUCGUGAGUGCUGGAGAGGCAAUCGGAAUUCCGGGUGUAGCGGUGAAAUGCGUAGAUAUACGGAAGAACACCAGUGGCGAAGGCGGAUUGCUGGACAGCAACUGACGCUGAGGCGCGAAAGCGUGGGGAGCAAACAGGAUUAGAUACCCGUGUAGUC